rnacentral:rRNA from 1 species
CUGAUGCAGCCAUGCCGCGUGUGUGAAGAAGGCCUUCGGGUUGUAAAGCACUUUCAGUCGUGAGGAAGGUGGUGUAGUUAAUAGCUGCAUUAUUUGACGUUAGCGACAGAAGAAGCACCGGCUAACUCCGUGCCAGCAGCCGCGGUAAUACGGAGGGUGCGAGCGUUAAUCGGAAUUACUGGGCGUAAAGCGCAUGCAGGUGGUUUGUUAAGUCAGAUGUGAAAGCCCGGGGCUCAACCUCGGAAUUGCAUUUGAAACUGGCAGACUAGAGUACUGUAGAGGGGGGUAGAAUUUCAGGUGUAGCGGUGAAAUGCGUAGAGAUCUGAAGGAAUACCGGUGGCGAAGGCGGCCCCCUGGACAGAUACUGACACUCAGAUGCGAAAGCGUGGGGAGCAAACAGGAUUAGAUACCCUGGUAGUCCACGCCGUAAACGAUGUCUACUUGGAGGUUGUGGCCUUGAGCCGUGGCUUUCGGAGCUAACGCGUUAAGUAGACCGCCUGGGGAGUACGGUCGCAAGAUUAAAACUCAAAUGAAUUGACGGGGGCCCGCACAAGCGGUGGAGCAUGUGGUUUAAUUCGAUGCAACGCGAAGAACCUUACCUACUCUUGACAUCCAGAGAACUUUCCAGAGAUGGAUUGGUGCCUUCGGGAACUCUGAGACAGGUGCUGCAUGGCUGUCGUCAGCUCGUGUUGUGAAAUGUUGGGUUAAGUCCCGCAACGAGCGCAACCCUUAUCCUUGUUUGCCAGCGAGUAAUGUCGGGAACUCCAGGGAGACUGCCGGUGAUAAACCGGAGGAAGGUGGGGGACGACGUCAAGUCAUCAUGGCCCUUACGAGUAGGGCUACACACGUGCUACAAUGGCGCAUACAGAGGGC